rnacentral:misc_RNA from 1 species
GGCUGCUUCAUAUCGUGGAGCACUCACCAGGUUGCAUCCCUUCUCGGAUCUGGAUCAUGGCUUUCCGUGCGCCAUUCCUGCACUCAGCCGUACGGGCCGACACUGCCCUCCUCGGCGGGCAUCAUCUCACGUGGCGCUGCUGGUUUUUGUAAUCCAGUUUGGUUUCAUGGCUCGACAACGGCUAUCAUCCAAGAUAACGACGUGGGAUAUAACUGCCUACCUCGGACUUCCGCAGUUGGGCACGACACCGUUUCCACGAUGGUGCGCUUACCGGUACUGCUAACGCAGGUUGCAUCCCUUCUCGGAUCUGGAUCAUGGCUUUCCGUGCGCCAUUCCUGCACUCAGCCGUACGGGCCGACACUGCCCUCCUCGGCGGGCAUCAUCUCACGUGGCGCUGCUGGUUUUUGUAAUCCAGUUUGGUUUCAUGGCUCGACAACGGCUAUCAUCCAAGAUAACGACGUGGGAUAUAACUGCCUACCUCGGACUUCCGCAGUUGGGCACGACACCGUUUCCACGAUGGUGCGCUUACCGGUACUGCUAACGCAGCCACGUGCUCCUUGUACAAAGUGAGUGUGAAAGAAAUCCGGAC